CAGUAGCCACGUUAAUACGUAGGGGGCAAGCGUUAUCCGGAUUCAUUGGGCGUAAAGCGCUCGUAGGCGGUCUGUUAGGUCGAGAGUUAAAUCUGGAGGCUCAACCUCCGUUCGCUCCCGAUACCGGCAGACUUGAGUUUGGUAGGGGAAGGUGGAAUCCUAGUGUAGCGGUGGAAUGCGCAGAUAUUAGGAAGAACACCAGUGGCGAAGGCGGCCUUCUGGGCCAUAACUGACGCUGAGGAGCGAAAGCUAGGGGAGCAAACAGGAUUAGAGACCCCGGUAGUCCCUGUCUCUUAUACAC
rnacentral:rRNA from 1 species